GAUCAGUUCAGGUUUCCCAUGCAAAUGUACUUGAGCUCCAGGUACUCGUCCAUGCCGUAUUUUGAUCCUUCUCUCCCAAGGCCAGAUUGCUUGACGCCGCCAAACGGCGCAACCUCUGUUGAGAUGAUCCCCUCGUUCACACCGACUAGUCCAUAUUCAAGAGCUUCCGAAACGCGCCAUGAACGAGGUAUGCUCUUUGUGAAGAUAUAUGUAGC
rnacentral:misc_RNA from 1 species